CAUGUGGAUUGGGUUGCUGCUGAGGUGGCCUCAUCCUGUGGAAAAUUUACCACCUCUCUUACCCUUUUCUGAAGAGCAAUGCUACAGAAACAUCAGAUCACAACUGUACAUGUACUGCUGAAUGGAUCUUUCUGGUUCAGCCGGGGUCACGGGCUCAGACUAUUUCUAAAUUCGUUCGCUCUCUGAGGAUGAUAGUUUCCUGGCAUGCCAAGAUGUUCAAUGUUUGCGAAUUCUCGGAGAAAAAUGAUCGAGGUCAACAUCGAUCUACGAGCUUCGACAAGAUAUUUGCGGCUUAAGAUUUUACAGAAAUUAUUGUUUCGUAUGAUAUCUCAGACAAACUCUAAACAAGCAUUUUCUGAGAUUACGUGUUUCAAAGCUCGAGUGAUCAGAAAGUUAGUCCAAACUCAUCGUCUACAACCACGUAGAACUCGAGUCGAUCUCAUGUUCAUGCUAUGUGGACAUAUAGGGCAUGGGCCCCUAUACAUUCCUUUCCCAGGAAAAAAUAAAAAAUAAAAAAUUCUCUUCUAUCCUUAAAAACUUAAUACUUAUUAAUAGAACCAAGAAAGGUAUU